GUGGUGGCUUAGUGUUAGAGCGCUCGCCUGGCAUGCAGGAGGUCUUGAGGUCGAUUCUCAACACCACA
rnacentral:tRNA from 1 species